rnacentral:rRNA from 1 species
AACGCGAAGAACCUUACCCAGACUUGACAUACAGUAGACGAUAUCAGAAAUGAUAUUUCCCGCAAGGGCUGCUGUACAGGUGCUGCAUGGCUGUCGUCAGCUCGUGCCGUGAGGUGUUGGGUUAAGUCCCGCAACGAGCGCAACCCUUAUCAUUAGUUGCCAACACGUAAGGUGGGGACUCUAAUGAGACUGCCUAGGUUAACUAGGAGGAAGGUGAGGAUGACGUCAAGUCCGCAUGGCCUUUAUGUCUGGGGCUACACACGUGCUACAAUGGUCGGUACAGAAGGCAGCGAAAUCGCAAGAUGGAGCAAAUCCCAAAAGCCGAUCUCAGUUCAGAUUGUAGUCUGCAACUCGACUACAUGAAGUUGGAAUUGCUAGUAAUGGCGUGUCAGCAACAGCGCCGUGAAUACGUUCCCGGGCCUUGUA